GAAGUUGAAACAUUCAACGUUUAGUUUCGUGCAUGUAUCAGUAUAUUGAGAUUUUUCUUUUUCGAUAUGACCAUUUUGCCCCCAUACAUAUAAUUUUUCUAUCCAUUUCUGCUAUGUAGUUAGGUUCGUUCCAGUAAUAUUUCUAGAGAAGUCAGUCCUCCGCUGGGUAAAAUAUUCAUCCAUUCGGCCAUUCGAAUUUGGUUGACUGUGGUGUGGUCUUUAAUCGUGCUAUUUUUAUCCGAUUUUGCAUCAAUUAUCCAGAGGCAUUUCCUGUAUUAGUGCGGCAAGGACAAUAUUGAAGAAAAACUGUUAUACGGGACUGAAGGAAUGUUUAUUAAAAUUGUUACACUAAUACUAAGCAAGUUUGGCAGCUGAUCAGAUCAUAGACCCUGAGGAAACACUAGAUAGAUACCUGAGGAGGACUGUUACACUGCAAUGAGACAUAACUGAUUUAUGGGCUGAAGGUCCAUCAUUAGAACUCUGGAACACGAACCAGCAAGCAUGAGGACUCAAGACCCAUUAUGAGAAAGGUGUGUCGUGGAGACUGAGCCACGUACGUGUGUGUAUUUGCUAUACUUAAUAUGAUUUUCAUGGCAUUAUUCUUCAUGAGGUCAUAUGUGGCUUUCUUAAAUUUGGCCAGCUCAUGUUUUGAUGGCAUUCUUCACAAAUAAUGGCAGUUUGUACAAUAUACAUGUCUGACAUUGGUAAUGAUGGAAGUCUGUGCAUAUAUCUUUGAAGUUGUGCAAUAUAUAUUUAAGUAUCUUUUUGAUGUAGACGGUCUUGAGGGUGUAUUAGGAUGGGUAGUUAACAUGUGAUAUCAAAUAAGGUUUUCCACUACCUCGUAUGUCAGUCUUUACAAUAAAUAGGUUCUAAAACAUAGCUUGAUGAUAGAUUACAGUUUAAUAGCAGAUACAGUCAACAGGCAGGAAGAUAGCGGCAGUCUUUGCAAUAAUAAGUCUUGCCUAACCAUUGUGGUAUAUGGUUCCCCCCCAUUUUAUGGCAUUCUUUACAACAUAAUUUUAAUGGUUCCCAAACAUGUCAUUCUUGUACUAUAUUUGCCCCAUUUGGUGACAGUCUUUACAAUGUAAUGCUUUUAAUUCGUGACGAUACUACUGAGGUAUAAUGAUGGUAGCUGUAAUUGAUUCUUAUAAACUAAUAUUUUUCAUGGAAGUCUAAGAGUGAUACACAUAUAAUGAUGGUAGCUGUAAUUAAUUCAUGAAAACUUGCAUAUUUCAUGGCAGUCUAAGAGUGAUACAAAUGUAA